UGCAACCACCGUGGCGUUUACACCUCUCCCAAGUACCAGUCUGUGGAUUUCAACAAAGAGCUGGCCGAGCCCAUCCUCCAGGUCAUCUCCCUGGCCUGGAACGAGGUCUUCAGCUCCCGGCUGGCCAGCUCCAUCGAGGGCUUCACAGCUGCCCUCCUGGACCAGUUGAGCUCCUUCUUCAGGGGCCUCAAGAAGAAACUGCACCAGCACCGCCCGGUUGCCGAAGCCCUGCAUGCGAUUCACGCCCAGCAGAUGGAAGCCGCUCGAGCGCGGUUGCUCAACUUCACCCUGGAUCAGACGACUUCCAUCACGAGGAAGCAGCGGACGGUUUCCCGGCUCUUGAUCCCGACGAUUCAGGCCGCCAUGGAACCGGCCUAUGCAGCCUGCUCCCAACUCUCCGGCCGGGGGUAUUUCCAGAGGAUGAAAGAGGAGAUGGAGACAUUCGUCCACCUGCAGAAGGACGCCAUCUUUGACUCGGCUGUGGAGAAGAUGUGGCAGCAGCUGGAGCUUUUCCAGCUGUCCAUCCACCGCAGCCUGCAGUCGGUGGCCCAGGAGCUGGCCACGUCCAUCAGGAUGCAGUUCGAGCCGCUGCUGAGGCCGGUCCAGAAAAACAAGGAGAUCCUUCCAGAAUUGCAGCGUCUCUGUGCUAAGGUGGACAAGAUUUGCCAGCGCUCGGGCGUGGACUACGUGCUUCCCACGGCCCUGCAGCCAGAGGAGCAGCCUCCCAAAACAGAGGCCAAACUGCCAGGAAGUGGGGGCUGCGUCAGCUUUCCGGCCGCAUCCAUGGAUGUCCGAGUCGGAGCCCUCCCUCUGCCCCACCUGGUGGCCAUUCAGGUAGGUCAGCCACUGGGGAGGGGCAGGGAGUUU
rnacentral:lncRNA from 1 species